AUACGGAGGAUGCGAGCGUUAUCCGGAUUUAUUGGGUUUAAAGGGUGCGUAGGCGGACGAUUAAGUCAGCUGUGAAAUGCCCGCGCUUAACGCGGGAAGUGCAGUUGAUACUGGUUGUCUGGAGUGCCGUUGCCGUGGGGGGAAUGUGUAGUGUAGCGGUGAAAUGCAUAGAUAUUACACAGAACGCCGAUUGUGAAGACACCUCACGAAGCGGUAACGGACGCUGAGGCACGAAUGCGUGGGGAGAGAACGGGAUUAGAGACCUUGGUAGUCCACGCAGAAAACGAGGAUGACUAACCGUCGGCGAUAGGCCGGCGGUGGCCAAGCGAAAGCGAUAAGGCAUCCACCGGGGGAGUACGAGCGCAAGGUUGAAACUCAAAGGAAUUGACGGGG
rnacentral:rRNA from 1 species